AUUUUGGACAAUGGGGGAGACCCUGAUCCAGCCAUCCCGCGUGUGUGAUGAAGGCCUNNNGGUUGNAAAGCACUUUUGACAGGNAAGNAAUAGCAGGGGCUAAUAUCCUCUGUGACUGACGGUACCUGUAGAAUAAGCACCGGCUAACUACGUGCCAGCAGCCGCGGUAAUACGUAGGGUGCAAGCGUUAAUCGGAAUUACUGGGCGUAAAGGGUACGCAGGCGGCUAGGAAAGAAAGAUGUGAAAUCCCAGGGCUCAACCUUGGAACUGCAUUUUUAACUACCUAGCUAGAGUAUGUCAGAGGGGGGUAGAAUUCCACGUGUAGCAGUGAAAUGCGUAGAGAUGUGGAGGAAUACCGAUGGCGAAGGCAGCCCCCUGGGAUAAUGCUGACGCUCAGGCACGAAAGCGUGGGGAGCAAACA
rnacentral:rRNA from 1 species